CGAUUUAACUCCUUCCCUUAGUUAAUAGGUCUACGUUUCUCUUUCCCCAAUUCCUUUCCCCGAUUCAUUCUAUUUCCCCACUUGCAACAAGAGGUUGUGAGUUUGAGUACACGCUGCCCUCCCAGACCCCAUUAACUAAGAUUAUACUGUUUUGUAUCUAACUUCAGAUUCUUCUAUUUCUCCCGGUCUGUUUCUCCCGCUAGAAGAAUCGAGAUUCAAAUCAGAAAAAGUAAAUGAAAUUCGUUUAGCAGCUUCAAUAAUCUUCAGGUAAUGAUACAUAUUUAGUACCAAAAGUUCUUUCCUCUUUAUUAGGGUUCAUGCAUGUUUGGAAGUGUAGCGAUUUUCCCCAAUAUUGUUCUAAUUUUUUCCCGUCAGUUUGAUAAUCUAUGAUUCAUUCUGUCAAUUGAAUAUAUAACAUCCAAAAUAGUAAUCUAUUACUGGAAAAAAAGGACAACAGAACUACGAUCGCUGUUAUUAGAAAAUAUUACUAAUCUAAUGGUUUCAGUACUUUUUUCUUUUAUUUUUGAGUCCAUUUUUUGUUAUUUUUCUGUCCAAUUAGUUUGGUAUUUCUUUAAAUUUUUGCUGCUUUGUCUGGUAUUUCGAUUGCAUGCACUUAAUUUUGAUAUUUUAAGUUGUUGUUCUUGCUAAUAUUAAGCUAAAUAUUAUAUAUGGGCUUGAUAGGUAGCCGAGGGAUCAAAAACUGCUGGUGAAGCUAUUGGGAUUGACGUCGU
rnacentral:lncRNA from 1 species